UACGGAGGGUGCAAGCGUUGCUCGGAAUUACUGGGCGUAAAGCGUACGCAGGCGGUCUGAUAAGUCGGGUGUGAAAGCCCCAGGCUCAACCUGGGAACUGCAUCCGAAACUGCCAGACUUGAGUUCGGGAGAGGGAAGUGGAAUUCCUGGUGUAGAGGUGAAAUUCGUUGAUAUCAGGAGGAACACCGGCGGCGAAAGCGGCUUCCUGGCCCGAUACUGACGCUCAUGUACGAAAGCGUGGGGAGCAAACAGG
rnacentral:rRNA from 1 species